CAGCCGCCACGGUAACACGAACCGUGCGAACGUUAUUCGGAAUCACUGGGCUUAAAGCGCGUGUAGGCGGGCCGCCACGUCGGCUGCUGAAAUCCCCCGGCUCAACCGGGGAAGUGGCACCGAUACGAGCGGCCUCGAGGGGGGUAGGGGGCACUGGAACUCCCGGUGGAGCGGUGAAAUGCGUUGAGAUCGGAAGGAACGCCCGUGGCGAAAGCGAGUGCCUGGACCCUUUCUGACGCUGAGACGCGAAAGCCAGGGGAGCGAACGGGAUUAGAUACCCCCGUAGUCCCUGUCUCUUAUU
rnacentral:rRNA from 1 species